rnacentral:rRNA from 1 species
CCUACGGGGGGCUGCAGUGAGGAAUAUUGCGCAAUGGGGGAAACCCUGACGCAGCAACGCCGCGUGAGUGAGGAAGGUUUUCGGACCGUAAAGCUCUGUCGAGCGGGAAGAAGUGCAUGGUGGCUAAUAUCCAUUAUGCUUGACGGUACCGCUAAAGGAAGCACCGGCUAACUCCGUGCCAGCAGCCGCGGUAAUACGGGGGGUGCUAGCGUGGUUCGGGAUCGUUGGGCCUAAUGAGCGAGUAGGAGGUGAAAGCCCUGGGCUUAACCGAGGAAGUGCAUGUGAAACUGUUCAGCUUGAGUAAGGGAGAGGAAAGUGGAAUUCCUGGUGUAGAGGUGAAAUUCGUAGAUAUCAGGAGGAACACCGGUGGCGAAGGCGACUUUCUGGCCCUAUACUGACGCUGAGACGCGAGAGCGUGGGUAGCAAACAGGAUUAGAUACCCUGGUAGUC